rnacentral:lncRNA from 1 species
CCCCCCCCCCCGCAGCUCCCCUGGUUAGGAGUUAUUACACUCAUGUUCCAGAGCACACUCUCCAAGCAGGAAUCUGCACAGUGGUACACACACACCCAAACACGUUCGCAUGCAGCGCUGCCAGAAUCACCCCACUAUAGCAUGCAAACAUAAGUGCGCAGAACCACUGCAUUAUAAAGCUAUACAAUAUGACUUGCCAAACCUGCAGUAAGAGUAAACCCGUUUAACCCUUAACAUGCUCUUGAAUCGUAUAUGCCUGUUUUAACCUCACCAAGUUGACUAUUCAAUUUACCUAAAACCUCGCUUAACCUAUAAUAUAAAAAUGUGCUAGUACUAACCAAUCCUGCUCUAUUCAAACCAUCAAGCGAGAACAGUUCUGUUGUAUACAAAUUUAGCAUAGCAUGUUUAUUGCUAACCACGAAUGUCUUAUAGCCUGUUUUUAACCCUUAACAUGCUCUUGAAUCGUAUAUGCCUGUUUUAACCUCACCAAGUUGACUAUUCAACUUACCUAAAUCCUCGCUUAACCUAUAAUAUAAAAAUGUGCUAGUACUAACCAAUCCUGCUCUAUUCAAACCAUUAAGCGAGAACAGUUCUGUUGUAUACAAAUUUAGCAUAGCAUGUUUAUUGCUAACCACGAAUGUCUUAUAGCCUGUUUUUUUUCAAGAGGAAAAAAAUGUGCCG